GUUAGAUCAUCUCACUGCUUCAGUGAAGCAGAGAGCGGUCUAGAGCGGGA
rnacentral:sRNA from 1 species